GGUAAUGUAUUGGUGAAAUUAAAUACCGAAGGCUUUUGCUCUUCGGUAAUAUCUUCGAUGCUUUAACUUCAAAAUUUGAGCAUUUGUUCUUCAAAUUUCCCAAAAGUAGAACAACCUCCCUCCCUUUUGUCGAAACUCACUCCUUGACUUAGGGUUGCGACCUUCGUGGCGGUCAGCCGGUUCGAUGUUGUGGUUUGAUGGCGCGAGUUUGGUGGUGUGGACGCUGACGGAGGUUCGUUGUUGGGUGGCGCUCUUCCAUUUCCUACUCUCUAUUCGAAGCAGUUUUUUGGUUUAAAGCGUGGGUUGUCGUCCUAAGGCGGUUUGAAGUGGUUAUUGUUGCGGACGCUGACGGCGGUUCGUUGGUGGCUGGUUUGCAGCUAGGGUUCGGGGGUUUUGGUCCUUGUGAGUGUUGCGACAGGUUCCAAGUCCUCUCUGCUUCUCAGAGAGAGAGGUAGGUUCAGUCCUACUCGCUACUUCGUCGAAGAGGUCAUCGGCUUUGAUGAGACCGAUCUCUACCGCUCAUGGGUUCGGGCUUCAUCCACUAGGAGUCCUCAGGAGAGGAACACCAGGUUGGAGAACAUGUGCUGGCGGAUUUGGAACCUCGCUCGCCAGAAGAAGCAGUUGGAGAGUGAGGCGGCGCAGAGAGUGAACAAGCGCCGCCUCGAGCGCGAGCGAGGGCGGAGGGAAGCCACCGCAAAUAUGUCGGAGGACUUGUCGGAAGGAGAGAAGGGAG